CUGUAAUCCCAGCAGCUCAGGAGGCUGAGGCUGGAGGAUCAAGAGUUCAAAGUAGGCCUCCGAAACAGCGAGGUGCUAAGCAACUCAAUGAGACGCUGUCUGUAAAUACAAUAUAAAAAUAGGGAUGGGGAUGUGGUUCAGUAGUCAAGUGCCCCGAGUUUAAUCCCCAGUACCCCACAAACCCUGCAAAAAAAAAAAAAAAGAAGAAGAAGAAUGUAUGUUGAGACUGUGGUGUGAGACAGUCUAGUUGCUUCUUGAACUUGGUACUACCCUUGUUGUGGAGGGAAGGUGGGAUAGUAAGCACAGAGAGAAGGGAGAUAGAAUUAAUAUUGUGAAUAACUACUAUUAUAUUACAAGUUCCAAAAAUUAAAGGAAAGAGGAAAUAUACACAACCUCCUUUAAGUUUGUAACUCUCAGCUCUGGUUUAGAUAUGAAAUGAUUGGUUGCUGUGUUUUAAAAUCCUAACAGAAUAACUGUUUAGUGGUUCCAGAUGUUUUUCAUGAAAACUUGGAAUUGUCACAUCAACAGCAAAAGCACAGAAUCUGUCUUCUGUUGGAGAAUGCCAAGCCAGAUCCAGAGGGAAAGCAAAACAGACACCCCUGAUUGCCCCUUUAGCAAUUUUUCCCCACCCAAAGUAUUUGUUCUCCAAGAAGGAACAAAAUAUAUAGGAAAAAUGUUUAUGUGUUCAGAAAAGGUAGAAAAUCUAGAUUUCUAGCCUAUUUCACAAAGCCUACAGCUAGUCAGAAGUAAAAAAAAAAAAAGG
rnacentral:lncRNA from 1 species